rnacentral:rRNA from 1 species
UGUGUAGGCGGUCUGGUAAGUUGGAUGUGAAAAGCCCGGGCUUAACCUGGGAGGUGCAUCCAAUACUGUUGGACUAGAGUGCAGGAGAGGAAAGCGGAAUUCCUAGUGUAGCGGUGAAAUGCGUAGAUAUUAGGAGGAACACCAGUGGCGAAGGCGGCUUUCUGGACUGUAACUGACGCUGAGGCACGAAAGCGUGGGGAGCAAACA